GAAGGUCCUGAGCAGGGACUGGCCCACACCAAGAGCUUUCUAAAGGGACCCGCUGCUGUUCACUGAGGCAGGAGGCAGGGCUCCCAGCCGGGGCUUUGCAGUCACCUAGCAAGAGAUGGUGGGUCCAGACUGGCUACUGUGCAGAUGGCGAGAAACCUUCAAGGGUCUGGAGGUAUGGAGGGCACGGAGGGCAGAUGGGGUUUGCUUGCUAAGUACACGCAGGCAUAAACAGAGGAGGCAAGGAUCACUCCAUUCCUGGCCUGAGCACAUGGAAAGGGUAGAGUUGCAAUUUAUGAGGACUAGGAAGCCCUGAGACACACUUCUUGCAGGUAGGAUGAGGAGCGGAGACUCAUGAGGCCAGGGUGAAAGUGUGUGUCCCACGGCCGAGGACAGGACUGGGGAUGCUGGGGUGAAAGU
rnacentral:lncRNA from 10 species